rnacentral:misc_RNA from 1 species
UUUUUUUUUUUUCUCUUUUUUUUUCUUUAAUUUUUGUUUUUGAUUCGAUGGGUUUAGAAGCAUUUAUUUGGGAGGGGGAGCAUUUACGAGCUUUCUCUAUAUGGAAUUUCGUUUAAACUAAAAUGAAUUUUGAUAUUUUUCGAUUGAUUAUCUUUGCUCCUUCAUAGUUUAAUCUGUGAUCGUUGAAGUGAAUCUUUCUACUUAUGGGCGUGGACUCCUGACAGUCAGAUUAUUCAUAAAUGGGUUGCCUAUUUUGAACUUUUCAAGUUUAUUUUCGAUAUAAUACGGUUUGGACAAUUUUCAUCUAAUAUGCAAGCUUUAUGCGAAGAAUUUAGCAUAAGAUGAUGCAAGUUUAAUAUCUGAUGCCCUUGGGGCCUUGUGAUUCAUCGAUAAAAAAAGCUCCUAAUUACAUAAGCGAUAGCUUACUUCUUUCGAGUUUUAUGCGGUUAUUCCGCUUUUUCUGGUCUUUGUGUUGGGUAUACACAGGUUUUGCUGCUGCUUCAUUUUUUCUUUUUAUUCUGUUUCUGGAUUGGUCUAGACAUGCUAAUCCUUCUUUUCUUGUCCAUGUAGAUUGGAGGAUGAGAAAGACAACCUGUGAUCUACUUAUCUCUUUGUUUUUGCAUGCAAUUUGAUUAUAAUUAAAGUACUAAUUCUCAAUAUGGUGACAAGUCCUUCGGCUUUGAUACUGCUGUUGAGGCUCAACGAGCUAUUAAUGCAGCCCAUGUUGAGGCAGAGAGUUUCGAGAAUGGUAUUGGCGUUGUCAAGUUAACGG